UGGGGAAUUUUGCGCAAUGGGCGACAGCCUGACGCAGCAACGCCGCGUGAGUGAAGAAGGCCUUUGGGUCGUAAAGCUCUUUUCCGGGGGACGAGGCUGACGGUACCCCGGGAAUAAGCACCGGCCAACUCUGUG
rnacentral:rRNA from 1 species